GCAGAAUAAGCACCGGCUAACUCUGUGCCAGCAGCCGCGGUAAUACAGAGGGUGCAAGCGUUAAUCGGAAUUACUGGGCGUAAAGCGCGCGUAGGCGGUUUGUUAAGUCGGAUGUGAAAUCCCCGGGCUCAACCUGGGCACUGCAUCCGAUACUGGCUGACUAGAGUGUGGGAGAGGAAGGUAGAAUUCCAGGUGUAGCGGUGAAAUGCGUAGAGAUCUGGAGGAAUACCGAUGGCGAAGGCAGCCUUCUGGCCUGACACUGACGCUGAGGUGCGAAAGCAUGGGGAGCAAACAGGAUUAGAUACCCUGGUAGUCCAUGCCGUAAACGAUGUCAACUAGCCGUUGGGGACCUUGAGUCUUUAGUGGCGCAGCUAACGCGAUAAGUUGACCGCCUGGGGAGUACGGCCGCAAGGUUAAAAACUCAAAUGAAUUGACGGGGGGCCCGCACAAGCGGUGGAGUAUGUGGUUUAAUUCGAUGCAAC
rnacentral:rRNA from 1 species